GAGCAGACGUGCCAGCCCCUCUCUUCAGUGCAUCCCUAUUUUCUGAGGUACCACUAGGGUCAAGGACGACCCACAUCUUAGUAGAAAGUCAUGGCUUCUAGGGCACGCAGAGGUCUGAGUACGGCCGAAAUCAAUGAAGUCAUUGCUCAAUAUAAAAGCGAUUAUUUUGAUGGCAGUUACGUUUCAUUUGGCUGACACGUAGCAGGGACAUCUUCCUGCCAUUGGCCACGUCAAGCUGCGCAAGCGUGUUCGCUGCCGAAGUUGCCCAUCUAGAGACGACCACAAGACGAACACAGCAUGUUUGCGAUGCAAACGGGCCCGUGUUCCAACAGCAUCAAACUGUCUUGUGUCCGAAGUGUGUGCCUCGUACGUAGGUAGCAAAUUUGGCCGUCGCACUUGUCGUGGGUGGGGCCCCAUUUACUGUACAUAUCCAUUAGGUAGCAAAUUUGGCCGUCGCACUUGUCGUGGGGGGGGGGGGCCCAUUUACUGUAUAUAUCAAUUAGGUAAGUUGCAUACCGCUAUAUAUUCUUGUUCUCUAUAGAAUUUGUGAUAUUCUGGUAGAUUUUCAUGCAUAAAUACCAUAUCUUAUAGUAGUUACAGCCAUUUUUAUAAGAAAUUUUCAUGGUGAAAAUAGCAGGUAAAAAGUGAACUUUAGAUUUGGCCCCUGAUAUAACAGCUAAUAUCAUCUUUGUCCAAAUAUUUUUACAUAAUUACUUUUUAGGAUAAUAUGACUUUAUUCUGUAUAAAAAUCAGCCACUUCCUAAUUCAUUUAGGUACAAAAAAAAAUUCGUGAAAAUUUGCCAGUUUUUGGAGGCAAAAAAAAUUUACCUUUUUUUUCUCUUUUCAGAUUUUGACCUCUAUGGGUCCGACACCUUUUCUGGCUGUGGAGACUUGUAAAUUGUAGUUUUAGGAAGGAUUCCCUCAAUUUAUU